rnacentral:lncRNA from 1 species
GCUCCAGUUCACAAAAUACUAGUUUUUCAAAUCCAUCUUUAAUGGUGAGCGAUUCAGCUGGGAAGAAAAUAACCAAAAAAAUAAAAUAGGAAAUGUGAUGAGAGAAAAAGAAAAAAACCCUCUUGUUUCACUAAUUCCAAUGAAUGUGUGCCUGCACUUAACAUAGUGUUCAAGAUUGAGAGUUCAUAUUUAACAUAGAAAAGAUAGGAUUUAUAGAAUCACAAAUAAAAAAUAUUUUGAGUUCAAAAAGCUCACAAAUUACAGUUAUUCCUCAAUAGAACAGUGACCCAGUUAAUCCCAUUUCAUUCGAUGUUUUUUUUUUUUGAUAAGUAAAGAAAGAUAUAUUAAUGAAGAGGCGGAAAGUUACAAGUAUACAGGGGGCAUACAAAGCAACAACCCCCUCUCAAAGCAAAAAAUAAGAUCAACAAGGCUCACCACCCCUUAGUUGGACGCCAACCAUUCCAAGAACCCUAUAAGGGACACACGCUCCUCACCAAUAUACAAUCUAGCCCAGCUCCACAAACUACAAACAAAAGAAUUCUUAAACUUUUGGAUAUUUAACACUCCCCCCCUAAAAGCUAGCCUAUUUCUUUCCUUCCAAACCGUCCAAAAAAUACACAACGGUAUGGAUUUCCAUAUCUUUUUCCUUUUCUUUCCCACAAAAGGGCCCCUCCAGCUAGUUAAGACCUCCUUUACAGUUUCUGGAAAGACCCACUGCACACCUGAUAACCCAAGAACAAUAUCCCAUAGAACUCUGACCACUAUACAAUGAAUAAGAAUAUGAUUUACAGUUUCUUCUUCACAACCACAUAGAAAACAACAAUUAGGAAGCUGCCAUCCUCUUUUCUGAAGUCUAUCAAGAGUGAGCACCCUCCCCCAUGUAACCUCCCAAGCAUAGAAUGCAACCUUGGUUGGAACUGAAUUCACCCAAAUGCAUCUAGAAGGAAAAACAAUAUCAUUGGGUCUGGCCACCAAUCUAUAAGCUUCUUUGACCCUAAAUUUGCCAUUCCUUCCUCCCUUCCAACAGACUGAAUCUUCCUCCAUAGAGGGCUUGUAAUCCCUCAGAACAUGUAGCAAGUUCCCUAUCAUAUCCAUCUCCCAAUCAUUAAAGUCCCUCAAAAAUCUUAUAUUACACCCCCCUUGACCAAAAUUCUGAUCCCACAUCUCCUCUACCGUCGCAUUCCUAUGAGAAGCCAUAGCAAAUAGGUGGGGGAAAUUUUGGGACAGCCUUGUACCAUUACACCAAACAUCAGUCCAAAAAUUGAUUUUGCUUCCCUUCCCAACUAUGAACCCCAUGUUAUCCCAGCACCAAUCAGUUUCCUUCCAGAUUUCCAUCCACACCCCCACGCCGAACGCCCCAUAAGCCCUCUUUGCUCUCCAACCAUGACCUUCUUGCCCAUAUUUCGUUGUUAUCACUUGCUUCCAAAGAUUAUCUUUAUCAUAAGCAAAUCUCCAGAUCCAUUUACCAAGCAAAGCUUUGUUCAAGAGCACUAGCUUCCUUAAGCCUAGUCCUCCCUUGCUCUUAUCCUCACAAAUCGCCUCCCACUUGAUUAGAUGAGCUUUCCUUUCCACACUUCCCCCUCCUCAAAGGAAAUCUCUUUGAACUUUAUCUAAUCUCCUAGCCAUUGACUUAGGCAUCCGGAACAAAGACAUGUGAUAGAUUGGCAUGCUAGCCAAACUGCUUCUUAUGAGAGUGAUUCUCCCCCCUUUUAAGAUAUAUUGCCGUUUCCACCGCGCUAGUCUCCUCCUCAUUUUCUCUUCCACCCCAUCCCAAACUGAAGGGGUUUUGUUAGGAGCCCCUAAUGGCAAGCCCAAGUAUUGAGAAGGCAGUGAGCCCACCCUACAUCCUAAUUCCACUGUCAUCUCCUCCACCACACCAACUGGGAUAAUUUCACUUUUGUCCAAGUUAAUCCUUAGGCCUGAAGCUGCUUCAAACCACAAAAGAAUCCAGCUCAAAUGUGUUAGGUGCUCUUUGUUAGCCUCACAGAACACGAUUGUAUCAUCAACAAAGAAGAGAUGAGAGAUUUUUAGAUUGUGUCUCCUAUCACCCUGAAAACUGCAACCUAAGAGGUAGCCCCCCGCAACCGCCCUCCUAAUUAGGGCAUCUAGCACUUCCAUUCCCAAGACGAAGAGGUAAGGAGAUAAUGGAUCCCCUUGACGAAGCCCUUUAGAACUCGGGAAGAAUCCAACUGGAACCCCAUUAACUAGAACUGAAAACUUGGCUGAAGAUAUACAACUUCACAUCCACCCCAACCACUUUGAGCCAAAUCCCAUUUUGUGAAGUGUCUUCAACAAGAACUGCCAAUUGAUGCUAUCAUACGCUUUCUCAAUAUCCAACUUACAAAUGAGCCCUUUCUCUUUUCUUUUUUAUCACGAGUCUAUCACCUCAUUCGCAAUUAAAGAAGCAUCAAGGAUUUGUCUUCCCAUCACAAAUGCAUUCUGAGUUGGGGCUACCACUUUGUUUAACACUCUCUUGAGUCUAUUAGCUAACACUUUAGCCAUCAAUUUGUAUAGCCCCCCUAGGAGACUAAUGGGUCUAAAAUCUCCCAAAUCAACCGCUCCCCCUUUCUUAGGAAUCAGAACCAGAAAAGUGUUAUUGAGACUUUUGAGAAAGGAGCUUUGCUCAUGAAACUCCUUAAACAUCUCCAAGAUCUCCCCUUUCACAAAAUCUCAACAACUUUGCCAAAACGCCAUAGUAAAGCCAUCCGGCCCAGGGGCUUUAUCCCCACUCAUCUCCAUUAAAGCUGAAUGAAUCUCAUUUUCAGAGAACGGAAUCUCAAGAUUCUCUGCUUCUUGCUGGCUAAUUUGAUCUAAUUGGAUCCUCUCAAUAUCCGCCUUCCACCCCAAGUCUUCUGAGAGCCUCUGUUGAUAAGCAUUUGCAAUCCCUUCCCUUACCUCAUAUUCCUCUACCAGCCAAACCCCAUCAAUUUUAAUUCCGUCCAAAGAGUUAUUGUUACGGUGGGCAUUCGCCAUCCGAAGAANNNNNNNNNNNNNNNNNNNNNNNNNNNNNNNNNNNNNNNNNNNNNNNNNNNNNNNNNNNNNNNNNNNNNNNNNNNNNNNNNNNNNNNNNNNNNNNNNNNNGCCAUCCGAUGAAAAAAUCCCGUAUUUUUAUCCCCUUCCUUAAGCCAUACCUCCCUUGAGAGUUGUCUCCAAUGACUUUCUUCCAAAAGGACCCAUUUUUUAUAGCUCUCCUUUGCUUCCUUUUUUAAAUCUAUCUCUUCCAAAGACAAUCUUCUUUCGCUUUCCACACGGUCCCAAUAAUCCACUUGCUGCAGGGCUGCACUUUUGUUACCUUCCAGAUUUCCAAAGACCUCUCUAUUCCAAGCUUUUAGUUUCUGUUUGAGCUCCUUCAUCUUUGCUGCCAAUCUAUAACUAGCAGUGCCUCUGACCUCAAUUUCCCUCCAUCAAUUCCGAAUAAGGUCUAGAAAACCCUCAACUUUUAACCACAUGUUUUCGAACCUGAAGGGAGAUGGACCUCUCCUUAGCCCGCCUCCUUCUAGAAGAAUGGGAAAGUGGUCAGAAAUAGGACGAGGCAGCCUUCUUUGAAUCACCCCACUAAACUGAUCUAGCCAGCUAGGAGACACCAAGAACCUAUCCAAUCUUGCCCAGGUCUGGUUAUUAAGGCCCCCUCUCCAAGUGAACACUCCCCCUUGCAACGGGAGAUCUACCAGCCCUAAAUCAUCAAUAAUAUGAGCAAACCUCCUCAUGGUCGGGGUUAUUCUCCCUUGGCGGCUUCUUUCUCUUUGAAAGAGGGUACUAUUAAAGUCACCCCCUAGGCACCAAGGUUCGUCCCAGAUUCCUCUUACAGCCCCAAGCUCUUCCCACAGGCAUUCUCUUUCCUCUUUGGUGAAUGGGCCAUAGACUCCCGUAAACACCCAAACAACCCCAUCUUCCACAUUCUUGAAUCUACACGAAAGGGAGUAUUGUCCCUCCUCCCAAUCCACAAUUUCCAACGACCUUUUAUCCCAGCAAAUCAACAACCCUCUCGCUGCCCCAUCCGCAUCCAAAGCCCUCCAAUCUAAGAAUCUUCCCGAGCCUAAACUUCUCACCACCCCCUCCGACAUUGGCUGAAUUUUUGUCUCCUGAAUACACAGUAAGUCAACCUUUUGAUUCCUUAUAAAUGUCUCGAUAAUUUUCCUCUUGGACCUAUCAUUUGCCCCCCUCACAUUCCAACUUAACAACUUUAGCUUCAUUAAUCUACUGCAAGCUGAUCCCCUUUGCCCUGUAAAAGGCUUUUUUGCUUACACCCCUUCUCAUAAUUAACUGAGCACUCCAGUCUCUUCAAUUCCCUUUCAAAUUUUGACUUCUCCAUCAAAUCUUUGCUGUGAAUUCUCUCCCGUCUCUUUCUUAUUUUGAUAAAGAAGUUCAAAAUUUCCUUUUCCAACCCUUCUAUCAAAAAGCCCAAAAAGUGACUAAACUUGGCCAAGCUGCUUUCUUCCCAUCUAUCCUCUUUCUCAGUUUUGACCUCUUGAAGUUUUGUCCUCUCUGAAUUCCACUCCACCCCCCUAGCCAAAUUAGGGUCCUUAUUGAAUUCUACCAAGUCCCAGCAUCCAUUGCCAUCCAUUCCGGGGCCAACUUCAUUACUUUCCCCUAGCACCCCAGAGUGAUCGAAAGGCUCCCCCUCCGGAGUCCGAUCAAAAGAAUACAAGAUGAGAUGAGAAGACCCAUAGCCCCUUUCCCUCUCUAUCCUUAGUCCAGAAUCAUACCUCAUGGCUUCCUCUACCAGCGCCUUGUCUGUUGCUGAAAGUAUGGCUUUCUCCCUUUUCUUCCUUGCUUCCUCUAUCUCCCAGAUGACUAGGUGCUCUCCCUCUAAAGAACUCCCGUUGCUAGCAAUUCUGCAGUCUAGAAGACUUCCUUUCUCCAAGGGUCUUUUACCUUUGUUUUGGGCCAUGGACUGACUUGGUCUGGCCUCUUCCAUCUCAGCCAUUGGGCCUCUCCCAUCAUGAGCCCAUCUUUGGGGCUGGCUAGCCUCUGGUCCAAUAGGGAUGGUCACCCUUUCCUUUAAUGUCAGGCCCCUCACUACACUCAGCCCACAUGGGCUCUUCUCUACCCCCCUUAUCAUUGACGCCUGGGCCUGGUCUGCUUUUCCUUUCCAGCCCAAGUUACUCUCCUGCCCGCCCAGUCUCUUAUCUGAAUUUAUCAUCUCCUCGGGCCGUUCAAAGAUUGACUCUUGGGCCAUGGGCUUAAUUGGUCUGGCCCCCAUUCAUCAAACAGCCAUCCCCGUCAAAAGCCCAGCUUUUGGACGGCCCAGCCUCUGGCCCCGCCCCUUCUUCCACCACUCCCUUUAACUUUAGGCCCGAAGGUUUCGGCCCACCGACCCUUCUCUCAUAACCCAUGGGCACUGAUUGUUGGGCCCAGUCAACUAUCCCCUUCCAGCCCAUAACCCUCUUUUGUCUCCCUGUCCCCUCAUCUGACGAUAGCAGCUCCUCAGGCUUUUCAAUGGCCGAUUCCACCUCCACGCACGAGCCGGAGCGUGAGAUGUUGUCAUCCCUAACCUCCCCCCAUUUUCGGUUGUCAACCCUAACCUUCUUGACUGACAGCCUGAGCUCCCACCAGAGGGCGAGGGUGAAAGCUUCCUCCUCGAUCCCAAUCUCCAGCGUACUCGGUUUAGCUCCACCGUCCGUCUUAACCAGAAUCCUAGCCCAUUGGAGCUCUUCCAGCUUCUCCGUCUGCGAAUCGAUGUCAAUGAAACCACCGCAUUCAUCCCCCACCCUUCUCAACACAGUCGGGUUCCACAACGACACUGGUAGUCCCAAGAUUCUAACCCAAACUUCAUUACUUUGUUCCUCCUCCUCCUCCCUGCAUCCACUCCUUGGGCUCCAUUUCUCAAAACUCAACCUUAGCUCUCCCACCAUUCUUUCUCCUGAUAGGGAAACCCGUUGAACUUCUUCCAAAGAUUCAAAUUCCAACAAGAUUCUGCUUCUCUCCAAUUUUGCCAGCCCUAAACUUCCUUUCAAUCCCCAAGAGCUCGCCAGAAAUCUCCCCAAUUUCUCCAAAUCUUCUUCAUCGCCUGACCUAGGGUUCCAACUCCCGACAACACAAUACUCCAAUUUUUCCAGAUUUCUUUGGAUUUCCUCCCUCCAUACCUUCACCUGAACUGAAUUUAUAACUCUACAGAUCGGUCUCUUCACCACUUCCGCGAACGUUCUCUUCACAUCCAUGUUUCCACCUACCAUUUCUUCUUGCAUAUUGUUCUUUCUAUCGAUUGACCUACGCAGAAUUUGUAGAUUUUCAGCCAUUGCAGCCCAUCCCUUUUUUACUCCUCUACCUUUUGGAAUGUAGAUACAUUAUUGUUUUCGUUCCAAAUCAGUUACCCCUAGCCGGAGGAAGCAUCCCGCUUUAUUUACGCUUCGCAGCAAAGAGUAGGAUCUCCCCUGUUCCUUCCAUUCCUUCACCCAUCUAUCUUCCUUCUCGUCCCUUAUACAGUGGUUUAGACCCUCCAUUAGGAACCCUAAACUCUCCACUCCCACUCUGACCCAAGACAAGACUCCCCCUUUACUUUCCUCUAUAAAUAUUUGGGGUUUUCCUCUUCUCUCUAUAAGCUCCAGCUCAAACACCUUGGAUUCUACUGCGAAUCUGCUCCCCCUUCGCCUUCUUCGAGACCCCUCCUUAUCUUCAUCUCCCUCGCUGGCAUAAUCUCGCCUUUUUCCUUCCUCACGUGCUCGUUCGCUGCCGCGCUCACUCUCUCUCUCUCGCUCUCUCUCUCCCAUCUCACUCCCCAUUUCAUUCGAUGUUGAUGGACCAAUUAGCAGGUUCUAGGAGGGUUACACUGAAAGCACC